UUCUCCAGGACAAAGAGCCAAGAGUCUGGAAAGCAAAGUCCAGAGUGGAACCAAUGUGAGUGGAGGGCACACAGGAACCAUGAGGGAACUGACAGAGAAGAAGAAGGAAAUAGCACUCAGUUCUACAGAAGAAACAGCUCUCCGGAGACCAGGUGGUGUGGCAGAGUGGCUGUGUAGCUGCCCUGGCAAGGAGGCAAGAAAACAACUUUAUUGCCCACCUUGAGAUGGAGACCUGACCUGGACUGGGAGAAUACUAUGCAGGUGGAGGGAGCAAUAAGAAUACAAGACAUUGUUUCCUGAGUGGCCAUCAGAGUCAACAGUUGGAGCAGGAGUCCUGGACAGGACACUGUCACACCAGGAGGGGAUCCGUGACACUCCAGGACUGUGAGUGAGAACAGGCCUCCCGGAAGCCCAGAAGCUGGCCAGCCUUCCCUGGAGCAGAAAUGUGGCUCCUUAAUGUACCCAUGGAAAAAUAAAGGGUGACCAACAGACUGGAGGCCAGACUUACGCUGGAAGAUCUCUAAUAAUAAGAUCAAUAAAGGUGAAAGGGGCACUGAGACCCCAGAGGCAAAAUCGUCUCUGUGCCAGGAGCGAGUCUCCCACCAAAGCCCAGUGAACAUGUGCAUUGUUCUACUGGAUUCCUGCGUGGUUAUCCACCCACAGGACAGCUGCAGGACCUUCCCUCAGCCUAUGGCUUGGACUGGAGUAAAUUCUCGGUGCCAUGAUCAGUCUCCACAGCACUACCUCAGAGUCCUCCAGGUGGGAGCUCCCCUUCUGCAAUGCACCUGUCAUGUUCACGCGAAGCUCAGGAUUGAGGUACGCAGCAAGCUACAUUCCCUGGACCCCUAUGGCAGCCUGGGUUCUGGAAGAGCUGGCCUUGAGCUGGAGCUCAGCAUGAAGGACCUUCAUGAAGAUGUGCUUCAGGAUCAACACAGGCAAGAGGGAGAGGAGGGGAGGAGGGACAGAGGAGGCUCAGCUUUGCACCUCAGGAAAAGCAGCUCAGGACAGCCGGCUUAUUUCACGGGCUGCUUGGGGAGCUCAUGUGAGCUUCAGAACAGCGCCCGAGCUAGGCUGAGAUGGUCAGAGUUCUGCUACUGCCCCAGUCCUAAGCCUGAACAAGGAUCAAUCACACAGGGGAAUCUUCCCAAAAGAGGCAUGAAUGUGGGACUACUCCUCCUCAGCACCGAGAGGAUUCCUAAAGGAGCUGCCCUCAAAUCCCUCAGCCCCAAGGCCAGAGAGCUGGUCCUCCACUGUAGGGUCACCUGGGGGUCAUCAUUGUGAUCUUGUGUACCCCCUAAUUCCUCAUGGGUUAAAAUGAUCCAGUCACUUUUCCUAUGACAAUGGUCCUGCUCAGAACCAUCACAGAAAAUAUGAUUUUUUUCUGCAGCUUUGAGUGGCCCGGGGGUAUAAGAGGACACGGAGUUGGGGACAGACAGGGAGCAAAAAGACAAAGGUAGGAGGAAGCAUGAAGAGUGAGAAGGGAACUAGCAUUUCCUAAGCAUCAAGUAAAUGCCCAGCACCCAUUGAAAAUGCUUCACACCCAUUUGCAGGUGCUGUCUUGAUAUAGUAUCACCAUCAGUUAUUAGUAUACCCUAUUGUUGGCAUUUCAUACAAACCAACACCAUAGUUACACACACACACGCACUGUCCCACAGUCUGUGUUGGGAAAUUUUAUUUCAGAGCUGGCCCUUCCCUCCUGCUGUGUCUCGGAAAAGCCUCUGCACAGGUGUGAGUGGGCGAGAAUUUAUUUCCUAAGGGAGAAAAAUGACAAGAUGAAUAGAAAAACCACAAAAGCAGGUAUGUGUGAUUUUGAUUCCAAAAUAAAAAUGCAGGCAGAAGAGGAGAAAGUGAGGUGUUAGGUGAAUUAAGAACAGAAGAAAAUAUACAAACAGAAAGCACAAGAAGCGCCUUUGGAGCAUUCACCUAGAACUUGUGGCUGAGGUGGCCGCGGGUCGAGGGAUCCUGCCGUGAGAUGUCACACCUUACAAAUGUGAUCUCCAAGGAGAGCAUUGUUAAUUACCAACAGGAACCAGAUUCAAAUGCUUCAACCACAUACUUUAUAUGCACCUGUUAUUCUUUUACUUGCUUUGAGUUGCAGGGCAUGGGGUACAAUGCCGAGUCUUUUGGUUUUUGUAGCUCCAUUUCUGGGAGAUGCAAGAUUAAAAAUCCUAAUCAUUUUCUGCUGUCGAGCCUUGAUCAGCUCCCCUUCUGGGCUCAUGGGAAAGCUUAAAGAUCAGCCAAUUUCUAAGAAAGGAAGGGGUAAAAAGGGACAAGGCACUGAUGGGACAAAACAGCUUCAACCCUGAAAGUGCUUCCUGUCUGCAAAAUUUCAGUCAGGAUCUCUAAUCAAUUAGCUAACUAGCUCCCCCUCUUGAAUUUUCCUUUCAGAUAAAAUUGCACAAUGCUAUUAAGCAGUGGUGAAAUUUCGAAUUGGUUUUAGUCUGUGGCCAGGAUUAACUGUGUCUUAAAAGAAAUUAGUCCAAAUGCAAAAUAUGCUACUUUGCCAUUAUAUUAAUGAGAUUCAGAGCUUUCAAAUCAUCUUUUUUGCUUAAAGAUUUUUUGGCACAGUUUACAAAUAAAAACAAGACAACAAGAUGUAGGUACUUACAGAAUUAGCUAGAAUGUACUACUGGCUUAAAGAGCUAAGGUGGCAAAAUUGAUAAAACUCAUGUCACCAAAAUAUGUUUGUGCCACUGUCAGAAAUGUUUUGCUCCCUGUGUCAUUCAUUUUGUAUUGCUAUUAUGAUUUUAUUUUUUUAGAUCCAAGCAUUUUUCUCACUUGGCCUUAAAACAAAAUCAAGAAGAGUUUUGCCAAGCUCUACAACUCAAGCAAUAAAGUGGUUAUGUGGAAUAGGGUAUAAAAUUCAGAACGAAUUGUAGUCAUGGUGAGCUAGGUUUUGUCCACAUUUCCUGUCAUGUCCAGCAAAGCCAUGAACUGGAAAGUAACUGGCCCUGAGCUAGUCUGAUGCCCUAUGCCCUCUUUUAGCCUGCUCCAUGCUGCAGAUCCGAGUCCUGUAGAGAAUCCAAAUCCUUCCUGGAGACUGAGUUUCUGACCACUGAGACUCUGAUUUCAAGGGUCUGGGCCUGGCCUGAGUCGGGGCUUCAGGAAAGUAUUCAGGUGAUUCCAAUGCGUGACCUCAGGGAAAGCCACCGUAGGGCUCCUCUCAGUUUUUCCUGCCUGCUUUGCCUCCAAUAUGUCUUUGUUGGCUUCCACAGUUUUGCUUCCACAAGUGAUGACUGCUCCUGUCAGGAUACUCACUGUGUGAGGCCACUGGACCCUGGUGGCAUCCUGACACUUGGGUGGUGUCUGGGCCAGUUGAGGCUCUGUAGCAGAGAACCAGGACUGGGGCAGGGGCCCUGAAACAGCAGACAUUUUAAAGACACGCUUCUGGAGGUUGGAUGUUCAAAGCCAGUGUGUAGGCAAGCUAUUCAGGGUGACUCCUGGAUCCUGCUCACUGACUGCACACUGGGCUCCAGAGACCACAGAUCCCUGGAAGAAUCAAGCUGCAACUGAGAGUCCGGUGACAAAUUGGGGACUUCUUAUCGAGGCCUGAGUUUCGCUGUGGGAGAAAAGUCCUUCUCACUGUGACUGGCAGAGGUGCAGGAAUGGAGUGGCUGGAGGGGAUGGAAAAGGGGAGCCAGAUGUCUGCCUCCUUGGUUUGUCUGGAUUUGUGUCUUUGCCUUCUCCUUUAUUGCCUCCUUUGCCUCCACCCACUACUCACCCCCCAGGGUCUUCCUCUUUUAAAUGGAUACAGCUCUGAGAUGUCCCUCAUUCUGCUCAACCCUUCUUAUUUGAGACAACUUGACUUCAGUGAAGGUAAAGAUUCUGCAGGGAUGGCUGGAGUGGGGUUAAGGGACCAAUGGGAGACUUAAAGGUAAGUUCCUAAGUUUGCCUCGGUUCAGAGAGGAGGAGGAGAGUCGAGGGCUCAUGGAAUCAUUACUUAUGAAAGCAUUAUGAUGAAAGAUGUCUUUAUGAUAGGCCCACAGUGCAUAUAGGAAUCAUAGGAAUGGAUUUUCUGUUGCAGCAAAAGCAGAUUUGUCCUUGACAGCAGAUUGAAAUGGUAAUAGUCAGUAAAAAAUUCUCCACUCGGCCAUGAAUAUAAAUCUCUGUUUUAAUAAAUUGAAAACAGUUUGCCUUUAGGAAUUUGAAAAAAAAUGUUUCCCUAAGUAGGGAGUGAUGAGUUUACUUACAUACUCCCUUGACUUCAUGCCCUGCCAUCAUUCUGAGCUUGACACUUUGAUGUCAGGUAGGGUAAACUGAGGAAGCCCCAAAACCAAAGCAGAAGUAAAAAAGGUAGAUGACUCCCCAGACUGGAGCUGCCAAGAUGAGGUUGAGAUUUGUCAGGUGUCAGGAGGCAUGGGUGGGCUGUGACAGGAAUUCAGUGGGCAAAGUACAAAAAUUAGGGAAAGUUGUAGUACAUUGGGGAAGGAAUGGAAUUAGAGUCAAACUGCCAUGAGUUUCAAUCUUUGCUUAGUUAUUUACUUUUAUUUGUUUAUCUUUUGUGGUAAUGGGGAUGGAACCCAGGACUGCCUGCACUUUAGCUAAAUGCUCUAAAACUGAGCUAAAUUUCCAGCUCUCAGUCAAGGUGACAAGUUGACUGACCUUGAUAAGGGCUUGCCUUUCUUUAUUGCUCCAAAGUUAAAUAAGAAUAGCUUCCUCCACGAGAAUAUAUUUGAAUUAAAAAUUAACAUAUGUGGGGAUUUUUUUUUUAGCUUAGUGAAGUAGAUGGUACAUAAAUUCUAAAUAGAUCUGAAUGUUGAAUAGCGAUCAAUAAUAACGAUGAGUAAGCAGGGGUUAGUGAUGCUCUGAGGAGUUGUGAGUUGUGUUGACAAGGGACAGCCAAUCCUCAGAGGUCUGAAUGGCCAAAGGGACCAAGGCUUUGCAUCAGGGAAAAAGAAGAUAAGGUAAAGCAUUGUCAAGAAAUUCUGGACUGGCAACCUACAUUCUCUUAUAUAGAUUCUCAUGGGAGCACCAGAAACUAGGAUUUGCAUCUAUUUUGUAGCAAGUGUAAUUGAGAAACAGAGGAUAAGAUCUUCUGCAUAGGCACAGUUUGUUCAGUAAAUAUAGAUAGAACCCAAGCCAAUGUGGUUCCAUGCUUGGAGUGCUCCACUACACCUCCUGCUUUGUGUUAAGCCUAAACCUUUUGACCUCACUUCUGGGCAAGGUGGAGUAGGAUCACACCAGACUCUCUCACUGGUGGAAAUCAAAGUAUUAAGUUACUGACUGUAAGAAAGCAAAGCCUCAAGUCCAUCUAAGCCUCACCUUUAAGAAACUAGGAAUAGAAAAGCAAAAUAACCAUGAAGCAGGCAGACGGAAAGUGAUAAUAAAGAGCAAAAAUGAGUGGAAUUAAAAUCAGAAAACCAAUAAAGGAGAUCAAUGAUGCUGAGAGCUUGCCCUUUGAAAAGGCCAACAAAAUCGACAACCUUAUAGUGAGAGGAAUGAAGGUUUGAUUGAUGAUAUCAGAAUGAUACAGGAGACAUCAACAGACCACUAACAUACAAUGGGAAAUAAGGAGUUCCAUGAAAGCCACGGAGAUAUGGGUGGAGUUACUGGAACUUAAUUCAUAUAUCUAUAAAAUGGAAGUUAUAGUCUCAUACACAAUCCCGAAAAGAUCAAGGAUUAGAGAAAUGGAGAAUGGAUAGACAGAAAGAUGAUAGCUAGACGACAGAUUGAUAGAUGACAGAAGAAAUAAAGAAAAAUACAGAUGGAUGGAUGGAUGAAUGAAUGGAUGGUAUGGUUGGAUAGACAGACAGACGGACAGGACUUAACCAGGUUUCACCAAGAUCUCUACAUUGGCAGUCGCUGACCACGGUGCUGACCACACUAAGGGACACAGAGGUCAGGCAGCCCUGUGUCCUGGGGUGAGGAAGGGAAAAUUCAGACAAAUUCUUUAUCCAAGAAGUGAAGAUUCACAUGAAGCUUAAAAAUUCUGAUAAGAGGAGGAAAAUGAGAGGACAGAGAAUGCUCUUACAGAGAAGUGCUGAAUACUGUUAAAUACACUGAACAUUUCGUGUCCUCCUGGAGCUGAGGGCUAAAAGCCCCUAAUGUCAGAAGAGGAGAAAUGCAGAGGGAUCCCUUGGCCUGGGUAGAAGAGUCAAGGGUGUCACCUGAAGCCCUUCCUGUGAUGAGGGUUUCUGGAUAAGAAGUCUGGUCUUCAUUUUAUAGGCAAGUGGAGGCAAGGCCUUUUUGAAUAUUGAUGCUAAUGGGGGAGAAAUAAGAACCAAGAUAUAUCAUGUAAAGGUACAAAUUCCCAAUGAUGAAUGUCAUCAUAUUGUACCCCUAGAAUGAACCAAUAAACUUAAUGAAUAAAAAAAUUAUUUCUUAAAAAAUAUUACUCAGUGAGAUUAAUUGAACAAUGAGGAGAUCUAGACACAAAAUGUCAGAUGUCAAAUAUUAGGAUGUUGGAUGACAUUUCUGACUUGAUAUUUAUGCCACAAUGUCCCAUACACCAUGGCAGAGAACUGAGUUCUAGGAACUGAAUUCUGACACACACACACACACACAGAGCUGUGACAUUUCCCAGUGCUCUCUAUAACAAAUAUCAGUUAACAUAGGUCACCAGUGUCCCCAGAGCUCUGCACGUGUGUAAUGAUUAUUCUGGUGGAGUUAUUCUCCCUACCACACAAUAACAAUGUGGUUUCUAUACUCUCAAGCUUGUAAUGAGAUAAAACAUGUUUUAGGUAAAUGCUGAUAUCCUUACUAGUUUGUUUCUCCUUUUGAACAGCAUUUGGAAUGCAGGCUGAACUAUUGGAGCUACAUUCAAAUAUCAUUCUUUAUUAAUGACAAAAGCUGACAAAGAGGCAACAUUUUGUGGGCCAAGGAGGCAUGAGAAUGACCUUGCCCCGGGCUGGGAGAUACACCCCAGCACCUGUCCACGUGGAUUCAUCUGGACUUUAUUCUCAUCCUGCCCGUGUCUGUUAGAUGUGGCAUCAAGAUUGAGAGAUGCAGAAAUGAAGAAAAGUCAUUUUUGUCCUCAAAGAUCUUACAAAUUAAAGCUGGAGGUGAAACAUACCGGAGAUAAAUGCACACCUGACAUGAUAGUUUUCCUAGAGCGUCUGCAUGUCACCUAUCAGCAACGUCAAUCGUUUUAACAUUUUUUCUUAUGUAGAAUGAAGCCUUGGGCUCUGUGCUUUCCAAAGUCUUUUGCAUUUAAAAACUUUAUGAUCCUACCUUUCAAUACAGCUAUUUAUUUCUAAAAGGUAUCCUUAGCAUUUGGAGCAAUAUUAUUCCAUAUAACUAUGUGGCAAUGAAAAUGCUCUAUAUGUGUGCUACUCAGUGUGGCAGUCACCGGCCACCUGUGGCUAAUGGGCACUUGAAAUGUGACUACUGAAAUCCUGUUUUCAAUCUCAUCGGUUUUAAAUAAUUCACCCUCAGGUAGAAUGCCACAUAUGGCUGGUGUGUACUGUGCUACACAGCACACAUUUAGAGAAAAGAGGAUUAUUUGUUGAGGACAUAAUGAGGCUGAUACAUAACGUGUAUUAUUAAGAAGGACUAGAACUUGGGGCUGGGGAUUUGGCUCAGUGGUUUUGCUGCCUGCUGUGCAAGCGCCAGAGUUUGAUCCCCAGUACCAAAAAAAAAAAAAGGACUAGAACUUGAAUAAGGAGAGGAAGGAAAGAACUUUAAAUGAUGCAUUAAUAGUUCUCAAAAGCAUCUUUAUUUUCUUGAAUCAAAUGCACAAGUAGUGAUAAAAAUGUUGUUGCUCUGAAGGGAGUGGUGGAGAAUUAUGAGGUACAGGAAUCAUUCCCUUUGGGCAGGAUGGAAACUGCACAAGGAGGACUCUCAUUAGGGAAGCAGCAGGCAUCAGUUGCCAGCUAAAGCAGUAGUUGCCUGUCUAUGGCUCCAGGUGUCUAUACUGAGCUUGAUAGGACAUGGGGCAAGAAGGCUGGCUGGCCUAAGCCUCAGCCCUCAGGGUGGAGGCACUGGGGUUUCUGCUGGGAGGAAUAAGAUCAUGGGAUCUGGAUCAUGCUCUGUGGUGGAUGGAAAGAACGCUUGGUUGGGAGUGGGUACAGUCAAUUUUGACCUGAAUCUAUCACCACUUUUAGCAAAUGUACUCAGCUUUUUCAACUUUUGGAUCACUCAUUUGGAAAAUAAAGAUCUCUGGUGUCUCUUCUUCAA